UCGUCAGCUCGUGUCGUGAGAUGUUGGGUUAAGUCCCGCAACGAGCGCAACCCUUGUUAUUAGUUGCCAGCAUUAAGUUGGGCACUCUAAUGAGACUGCCGGUGACAAACCGGAGGAAGGUGGGGAUGACGUCAAGUCAUCAUGCCCCUUAUGACCUGGGCUACACACGUGCUACAAUGGGCAGUACAACGAGAAGCAAGCCUGCGAAGGCAAGCGAAUCUCUGAAGGCUGUUCUCAGUUCGGACUGCAGUCUGCAACUCGACUGCACGAAGCUGGAAUCGCUAGUAAUCGCGGAUCAGCACGCCGCGGUGAAUACGUUCCCGGGCCUUGUACACACCGCCCGUCACACCAUGGGAGUCUGCAAUGCCCAAAGCCGGUGGCCUAACCUUCGGGAAGGAGCCGUCUAAGGCAGGGCAGAUGACUGGGGUGAAGUCGUAACAAGGUAGCCGUA
rnacentral:rRNA from 1 species